UUAAGCGACCAAGCGUACACGGUGGAUGCCCUGGCAGUCAGAGGCGAUGAAGGACGUGCUAAUCUGCGAUAAGCGCCGGUAAGGUGAUAUGAACCGUUAUAACCGGCGAUUUCCGAAUGGGGAAACCCAGUGUGAUUCGUCACACUAUCAUUAACUGAAUCCAUAGGUUAAUGAGGCGAACCGGGGGAACUGAAACAUCUAAGUACCCCGAGGAAAAGAAAUCAACCGAGAUUCCCCCAGUAGCGGCGAGCGAACGGGGAGGAGCCCAGAGUCUGAAUCAGCAUGUGUGUUAGUGGAAGCGUCUGGAAAGGCGCGCGAUACAGGGUGACAGCCCCGUACACAAAAGCGCACAUGUUGUGAGCUCGAUGAGUAGGGCGGGACACGUGGUAUCCUGUCUGAAUAUGGGGGGACCAUCCUCCAAGGCUAAAUACUCCUGACUGACCGAUAGUGAACCAGUACCGUGAGGGAAAGGCGAAAAGAACCCCGGCGAGGGGAGUGAAACAGAACCUGAAACCGUGUACGUACAAGCAGUGGGAGCACAGGUUUACCUGUGUGACUGCGUACCUUUUGUAUAAUGGGUCAGCGACUUAUAUUCUGUAGCAAGGUUAACCGCAUAGGGGAGCCGAAGGGAAACCGAGUCUUAACCGGGCGUUAAGUUGCAGGGUAUAGACCCGAAACCCGGUGAUCUAGCCAUGGGCAGGUUGAAGGUUGGGUAACACUAACUGGAGGACCGAACCGACUAAUGUUGAAAAAUUAGCGGAUGACCUGUGGCUGGGGGUGAAAGGCCAAUCAAACCGGGAGAUAGCUGGUUCUCCCCGAAAGCUAUUUAGGUAGCGCCUCGUGAACUCAUCUCCGGGGGUAGAGCACUGUUUCGGCUAGGGGGCCAUCCCGGCUUACCAACCCGAUGCAAACUGCGAAUACCGGAGAAUGUUAUCACGGGAGACACACGGCGGGUGCUAACGUCCGUCGUGAAGAGGGAAACAACCCAGACCGCCAGCUAAGGUCCCAAAGUCAUGGUUAAGUGGGAAACGAUGUGGGAAGGCCCAGACAGCCAGGAUGUUGGCUUAGAAGCAGCCAUCAUUUAAAGAAAGCGUAAUAGCUCACUGGUCGAGUCGGCCUGCGCGGAAGAUGUAACGGGGCUAAACCAUGCACCGAAGCUGCGGCAGCGAACGUAUCACUUAAAACGAUUCAGAAGCUUACGAUUGACGGAGCGAAGCGACGUCAAAGCGUAUACAAAGUCGAGUCGGUUUAAGGAUACGUUCGUUGGGUAGGGGAGCGUUCUGUAAGCCUGCGAAGGUGGCCUGUGAGGGUUGCUGGAGGUAUCAGAAGUGCGAAUGCUGACAUAAGUAACGAUAAAGCGGGUGAAAAGCCCGCUCGCCGGAAGACCAAGGGUUCCUGUCCAACGUUAAUCGGGGCAGGGUGAGUCGACCCCUAAGGCGAGGCCGAAAGGCGUAGUCGAUGGGAAACGGGUUAAUAUUCCCGUACUUGGUGUUACUGCGAAGGGGGGACGGAGAAGGCUAUGUUGGCCGGGCGACGGUUGUCCCGGUUUAAGCGUGUAGGCUGACUUUCCAGGCAAAUCCGGAGAGUCAAGGCUGAGGCGUGAUGACGAGGCACUACGGUGCUGAAGCAACAAAUGCCCUGCUUCCAGGAAAAGCCUCUAAGCAUCAGGUAACAUCAAAUCGUACCCCAAACCGACACAGGUGGUCAGGUAGAGAAUACCAAGGCGCUUGAGAGAACUCGGGUGAAGGAACUAGGCAAAAUGGUGCCGUAACUUCGGGAGAAGGCACGCUGACACGUAGGUGAAGUGAUUUACUCAUGGAGCUGAAGUCAGUCGAAGAUACCAGCUGGCUGCAACUGUUUAUUAAAAACACAGCACUGUGCAAACACGAAAGUGGACGUAUACGGUGUGACGCCUGCCCGGUGCCGGAAGGUUAAUUGAUGGGGUCAGCGCAAGCGAAGCUCCUGAUCGAAGCCCCGGUAAACGGCGGCCGUAACUAUAACGGUCCUAAGGUAGCGAAAUUCCUUGUCGGGUAAGUUCCGACCUGCACGAAUGGCGUAAUGAUGGCCAGGCUGUCUCCACCCGAGACUCAGUGAAAUUGAACUCGCUGUGAAGAUGCAGUGUACCCGCGGCAAGACGGAAAGACCCCGUGAACCUUUACUAUAGCUUGACACUGAACAUUGAGCCUUGAUGUGUAGGAUAGGUGGGAGGCUUUGAAGCGUGGACGCCAGUCUGCGUGGAGCCGACCUUGAAAUACCACCCUUUAAUGUUUGAUGUUCUAACGUGGACCCGUGAUCCGGGUUGCGGACAGUGUCUGGUGGGUAGUUUGACUGGGGCGGUCUCCUCCUAAAGAGUAACGGAGGAGCACGAAGGUUGGCUAAUCCUGGUCGGACAUCAGGAGGUUAGUGCAAUGGCAUAAGCCAGCUUGACUGCGAGCGUGACGGCGCGAGCAGGUGCGAAAGCAGGUCAUAGUGAUCCGGUGGUUCUGAAUGGAAGGGCCAUCGCUCAACGGAUAAAAGGUACUCCGGGGAUAACAGGCUGAUACCGCCCAAGAGUUCAUAUCGACGGCGGUGUUUGGCACCUCGAUGUCGGCUCAUCACAUCCUGGGGCUGAAGUAGGUCCCAAGGGUAUGGCUGUUCGCCAUUUAAAGUGGUACGCGAGCUGGGUUUAGAACGUCGUGAGACAGUUCGGUCCCUAUCUGCCGUGGGCGCUGGAGAAUUGAGGGGGGCUGCUCCUAGUACGAGAGGACCGGAGUGGACGCAUCACUGGUGUUCGGGUUGUCAUGCCAAUGGCACUGCCCGGUAGCUAAAUGCGGAAGAGAUAAGUGCUGAAAGCAUCUAAGCACGAAACUUGCCCCGAGAUGAGUUCUCCCUGAGACUAUAAGUCUCCUGAAGGAACGUUAAAGACGAUGACGUUGAUAGGCCGGGUGUGUAAGCGCAGCGAUGCGUUGAGCUAACCGGUACUAAUGAACCGUGAGGCUUAACCUU
rnacentral:rRNA from 1 species